ensembl:lncRNA
GCGGGGGGGUGAGAGAGCAGAGCAGGUGAUCACUUGGCGCACUGGAAAGCAGAACUUGAUGGAACUGGUGCGCGCGCCCUGGGAAUAGUUCCCCUCAUUAACGACAAUUUGAAAUUACACUGGCGGCGUUCCAUCAAAUCGUCAAAGAAGCACACAUCUGAAAGAACACUUGCGUUUCGUUCAUCAUCAAAGAAAAAAGCGACGGGCCUGUUUGUUCCUGAUUUAAUGAGGCGUGAAUAAACAACACGAGUAGGCCUAAACAGCUUUCAUAAUUUAAUUCUCAGGUGGGAUGGAUUUAUGCUUCCCUUCACGUGGUCUUUUUUCAUGGCCCCGGUUCCUGCACGACAUCUGCCUCAUGGUUUUGCCAUGUUGUGUGUUCUGAGAUGCUUUUCUGCUCAACGUGGUUGUAAAAAGUGGUUAUUUGAGUAACCGCAGUCUUCCUGUCAGCUCAGACCAGUUUGGCUAUUCUCUUCUGAGCUCUCUCACUAACAAGGAGAUCAACCUUUACUGAAAUACGUCUGGCACCAUCAACCAUUCAGAAAAGCUUAGUGAAAUGUCUGACGCCACCGGUCAUUAAGUUAGACACUGAAAUUUUACGGUAUUUAUUUUGUGUCAACGUCUGGCUAGUCAUCUGAUGGCCUAAUUAGGAAGGAAUUUAUCUAAAACUCAGCAUCUUUCCACAACCCAGCCGCAGUCCAAGAAAUGCUCUGUUCCAUUUGGUGAGAGCUGUCAAGGUAAAGACGUGCUGUUAAAAUAAUGAAAAAUGAAAAUUCUCCGGAGCCUUCCUUUUAAAUGCUUGAAUGCUACUGUUUAGGGGAAGCACACCUGCUUUUGGAGUAAAAGACACACACACCCACACACGCACACACACACACAGAUGGGUUUCAGCGCAGCACUGCGGGUGAAAUUGCAGACACAUGUUGGCUCUCAAGGUAAGAAAUCAGACCCUACAAGGGCUUGAAACCUCUUCUGUGACCUUUAGAGGAUGCAGACUGGGGGCCAGGGUCAAGCACACAGAAAUGAGAUGGAUGAGAUGGGACAAAAUGUAAUUCCAUAUGGUUACAGCGAUACCAUUUCGUCUUCGUGCACACUUUGAAAGAUAACUACAGCAAUUUACUGGUAGCAGAGUGUUUUUACUGUAGAUACGUGUAAAUAUAAUGACUGUAUGAACUAAAACAGAAUAGAAGAUAAAAUAAAACCCCCUGCAUUUGGUCAUGUGGUUUUAUCCAAAGCAACUUAUGAGUGAGAGAGGAUACAAGUCAGAUAUUGAAGGUUAAGGGUUUCGUUCAAAAACCAAACCAUGGCAGCUUGGAGAUGUUCGGAUUUGAACGCACAACCUUUGGAUAUAUAAUUCAAAACCUUACCUACUGAGCCACCAUGUCUAUCUCCAUCCGCUUGCAUUGAUUCACCCACCUCCACCACUGAAUGAACUCACGCUAAAAGAUGAAUUUCAGUGCUUUAUCAAACCAAAGUUUUUACUAGCAUAUAAAACUCAAACAGGGUGUGUAUUCACCUAAAAUAGUUGCUAAAAUGAAGUGAUCCAUUAAUUUGCAGAUGUUAAUAGAAGGAGAUUUUGUUUUUGUACUAUUCUCACCCCUAAAAACUUUUGAUAUACCACUAUGCAUAGUUUUCUCUGGUAUUUUAUUGUAAACCAGAACACUGCUUUAUUUGCCUAAUUUUUUAAAGUAUAAUUCUGUAAACCAUAAGCGAGUAUUUUACUGUAAAACCAUCACUGUAUAUUUACAGUGAAGGACCAAAAAAAUAAUCCACACAAAGAGAAUCAAUACGUUCUUCUCUUGUCAAAGGUAUUCUUAAAGGCUAUCUGGAAAAAUAUAUAUAUAUAUAUACAGUAGACUGCACUAAUAUUGGCACUCUAACAGUAGUAAAUAUGAGUAAAGAAAGCUGUGAAAAAUUGGCUUUAUUGUUUAACCGUUUGAUCUUUGAUUCCAAAAGUUCACAAAAAUACUCUGCUGUCAUAGAUAUCAAACAAUUGCAAACACAGCACAGGUUUAUCAACAACAAAAAAAGUUCUGUUUUUCUGCCAGAGGACCUGGACAUAUUGUUAGGAUACAUGGCAUCCUGGACU